GGGUCAGUAGGUUGGUCGUGCCACCGGUACGUACUGGUCUCACUGAUUCCUCCUUCCUGAAGAACCGUAAUGCCAUUAAUUUGGUGUUGCGGGGAAGCAGGACUGUUACUUUGAAAAAAUUAGAGUGUUUAAAGCAAGCUAACGCUUGGAUACAUUAGCAUGGAAUAAUGAAAUAGGACGAUCGAUCCUAUUUUGUUGGUUUCUAGGAUUGACGUA
rnacentral:rRNA from 1 species